rnacentral:rRNA from 1 species
GUGAGGAAUUUUCCGCAAUGGGCGAAAGCCUGACGGAGCAAUGUCGCGUGAAGGAUGAAGGCCUAUGGGUUGUAAACUUCUUUUCUCAGAAAAGAAUUAUGACGGUAUCUGAGGAAUAAGCAUCGGCUAACUCUGUGCCAGCAGCCGCGGUAAGACAGAGGAUGCAAGCGUUAUCCGGAAUGAUUGGGCGUAAAGCGUCUGUAGGUUGUUUAAAAAGUAUUAUGUCAAAGAUUAGGGCUUAACCCUAGAUAGGCAGAAUAAACUUUUAAGCUAGAGUUUGGUAGAAGCAGAGGGAAUUCCCGGUGGAGCGGUGAAAUGCGUAGAUAUCGGGAGGAACACCAAAGGCGAAGGCACUCUGCUGGGCCAAUACUAACACUGAGAGACGAAAGCGAGGGGAGCAAAUGGGAUUAGAUACCCUAGUAGUCC